GUAGGUGAACCUGCGGAAGGAUCAUUAACACGUUUUUUUCAUCAAAAACGUUUCUUUGCCACCUUUCAACCAAACGUGAACAAAUGUAGGCCAAUACAAUGGACGAAAUGCCACUCAGGGGUAUUUCUUGAUGUCUAACGGAAACUUCAUUGAUUCCGGUCAAGAUACCUUUGUUGGUGUUAUCCCCUGGCCGAUUUGCCCAAUUUUUCCCAAUUUUUAACCCUUCAUUUCUCUAUGUUGUCUCUCAUUU
rnacentral:misc_RNA from 1 species